GGCGAACAGUGCAAAAGGAAGACGGUGGCUGCCUCCAGAUCUGUGGAGAGAGAAGGUUACCCCUUACACUAUAUCCUAUCUAGGGGACUACACCGUGGCUCGUAGCGGGUAAUAUUGCCCCUAAAGGAGGGGAGGGGAGCCGCUGCACACAGCCUUAGACCGUGUUCAACGCUGCACCCCCCUCCCCUAUCCAUGUUGUUGCAUAGAGCGUACACUUUUUUUUGGUUCAACAGCUCCCUUCUACCUCCCCGUCCUCAAUUAAAUUAUAAUUAUGAUAUAUAUUCUUUGUUAUUAAUGCAAAACAUUUUUAUUUAUACAUAUUGUUAAAUAUAAAAAAUUAUUAUAAUGAAUAUAUUUAUACAAUGAGUAAUCUUUUAACCAGGUAAUUAUUUAUUUUUAUUAUUAACGUCCACGAAAGCAUCGCCACAUGUAGAUUUAACGAAUCACCGCGAGAAACGGGAUGGAGAAUGUUUCUAUGUCCUUAUCCCUGUUUACCCAUCGAGAGAAGAAUUUUUCCUAAUUAUAUUUCCGUAGGGAAAGAAACUUCCAUAUUCCUAUCAUCUAAGGGCAAGUUUGGAAACCCCAUUUUUCUAUGAGAUUUUCAUUUUUUCACAAGCGAAAUUAAUUCAUUUUUUCUUGAAAAAAUAGGAAUCCGGAGUUACCAAACUAGCCCUAAUAGGGGAAUUUUUAGGAAAUCGAGGAUCAAGAACAUCUCUAGUCCCGUCCGUCAUUAGUGUAGAGGUUCAGGAAUGCCGCCUUCAACUUCAACCACUGCUCUUGUAUGGAUGAUGAUAUUAAUAAUAAGGCCAGCUACUGCAGUGGUAUGAAUGGGAAUGAACUAGCAGUCAUAUCCAUAAUCAUGUUGGGGCUACAAACAACAUUAAUCAAAAAGUACACAAAUGGACAGAAUAAUCAUUCUCCUAAC
rnacentral:lncRNA from 7 species